GCCAGAGAUUAGACUUCUUGGAAGGAAUCUGGACUUUAUCCCCCCACCGCUGCCUCCUCGAUUACCUGCCUGCAGCUUCCCGAGGUCAGCUCUCCUCAUACUUGAACCCAGAUUAUUCUGUAUUGAAUUUUGGAACAAGAAGUACCAUCUUCUAAAACGUUCUUGGCUGUCUGGAAUUCAACCCAUUUCUCCUGAACUGGCAGGACUACUAUUCAUCAAGACCAGCUGAAAUACUAAUGCUUCCUCCACAGAGAUCUUCAGUGAAAGCCUAAAAAGAGAGGUAGUUAACAGCAAUCGUACCAAAGCUGGUAUAAUACUCAAGCUGUAAGGAACAGGAAUAAGAUCAAGGAAUUCCAGCAGAUUUGCUUAAAUCCUGUAAAUCCGACUUAGGAGGGUAGAACAGCUAGUCAGCUUUUGUUUAAUUCUUUCCCCACCACGCAAUCACAUACAGGUCUCUGCAGCAAUGUUCUUAACCAGUGGGCUCAGCACCAGAACCCAGUUUUAUUCCCCAGCAACAGCAUCAUGGAGCUCAGAAAGAACAGUGUCAUUCCCUACAGUUACGCACAUGAACUAUUAGGGGAGUGAUCUCCAAUAUGAGCAUGUCACAGAAUGCAUUUAAACACCGACUAUAAGUUUAACAGUGAGAUACAAAACCAUGGCAGCAGCUGAAAUUGCCAAGGACAAUCAGUAACUGGAGGGGUUUUGGUUACAGCAAGGGAUCCUGAGGCAAAAGAAUUGCUACAGUACUUUUAAAGGAAGCACUGUAAAACCUGGGUGCGCCUGAAAAGCAUUCUGUUUCCUUCUUUCUUCCUCUAAAUAAAUGAGGACUGGAAAACCUCAGCAUAGUAAUUUCAAGAUUACAAUAGACAUGUAAAAGGUCAGACAGAAACCCAAACCCUUCAAUGAAUUUGUGAAGCUCACUGUGAAGCAGCAUGAUCCAAAAACAGCUGUUCAGAUUAGUGGGAGCUGUGCAAAAUUUCAGAAGUAAAACUAUAAAAAGGUAUUGGCUUCUCUGUUACAGCCUCUUAUAUAAGACAGUUCAUCACAGACAGCAGAAACAAAGUACCAGGAAGUAGCAUUUCCUUUCAGUGUCUUUUGGACUGAAAAUGCAGAAUGUCAUAGAACCAAAGUGUUUUCCAAACUUAGAUGUGGACAUUAUGUUCUUACUGACCCCAAGUUCUCUGAAAGACCCAAUUAUGCCAUAAUAGCAACAACAGAACAAGCUACCCUGUUCAUGUACCCUCCAAUCAUGAGGCACUGUAAGUUAUAGUUAAAUGGAAAUUUCUUCAAUAACUUGAAACAUUCACCUGACCAAAAUUUACGGGAUAAAACAGGUAUCAUCAGCCUGGGGCUCCAGAGAAGUCGGCUCCAACUCCAGCAACUCUCCAGUCACCUGUGGGUAAUCUCACAGUCUGUGUGUGCCUGACUCCCUUCUUCCUCUGCUUUUUCUACAUGCCUGAAAGAAUUACUGAUAUAAAUGGUUAUAACAGUAGUUUUCCAAGACACUGCAUUUUUCUCAGCAAUUAGGUACUGGUCCUGAAGUUUUGUGGUACUGUAGUGGAAAAAAAAAACCCACACAGAAACUAAUAAUUCAUUACAUGAUUUCAGUUACCAGUUCAUGCUUGAACUUUCUCUCCCUCUUUUGUUUUUUUUUUUACCAAAAAACAAUGAAACAUUUUGUUGUAGAUUAUGAGUUGCCCAAGUCAAACAUCAGUCUUGCAUUAUUUUAUUAUAGUCCAGACAAAAUAAUUAAACUGAUGUGGCACCACACCUGUGCCACCUGCAAAUCAGAGUGCCUAAAUCAUAAGCUUCUACGUUAAAGUUAUAUCUGAUACUUACCAAUGUACUGUGUAUUAACAAGGUACUUUGCUGGGGAUUUUUUGCACAUUCUAUAGCCUUUUUGUACAGCAGCAGGAAUUAGGAACCAAAUUGUGUAUCCACUCCUGCAGAAGUAUGAGCCAUGAGAUUACUACCAAUUUUCAGCUGGCUUAGUGUUUGAAUCUGAGCACUUCUCAACAGCAGCUCCAAAGCUAGGUAGAAAGCUUAUAUGUUAGGAAAAGUCACCCCCAAACUGUUAGGAAAUGCAUUUAAAUGCAUUUCUAAAAGGUUUUAUUUAACAGUGAGAACCCGAGUAGGCUAGUUCUGGCUAGCUGAACAACAUACUGCAGAAAUCCUAACACUGCAAGACCCAGGAAUCUCAUGAACAAAAUCAGCUGAUA